AUGAAGCUCAAUAGAGGUCGCCGCCGCAGCCGGGAUUCGAAGAAAUCAGCUGGUAAUGGUGAGGCCAGGCUAAGCGAGCUUCCCAACCAUGUGCUGGUCAACAUCCUCGAGACGGUGGAAACACAGUCGACGAAAGCAGCUACUAAUGCGGAGGACAGGCUAAGCGAGCUGCCUAAUGAUUUGCUGCUCAACAUCCUCGAGAGAGUUAGUACCCUUGAUGCUGUAAGAACCUGCAUCCUUUCGAAGAAAAUGCAGAAGCUGCCAACUAUGCUCUCGCAGAUCGUAAUUGAUCUUAGCCCUUGUGAUUUGGUUCAAAUGGAUGGUGUUGUGGCUGACGUGACGGACAAGAUCCUUAGUACGAGGUCUCCACAGAUCACCGUUCGCAAGCUGAAGCUCAAAUUUUUCUUGGUUCCCUCUCGCUGUCUCUCCAUCGGAAAAUCGGUCGGCCUCGCCAUGGCGACUCAGAAGUUGGAUGCAGCUGAGUUUGAGAUCAUGCCACUGAUGGAUAACAGAUGUUGCACUGAUGCCCAUCGCCUGCUCUUUGGUCAGCAGUUCAAUGAUUUUGUUCGUGAUUGCCAGGAUGCAUUUGCUGGUCUCACGCGGCUGGAUCUACGAGUGGUGCUUGACUGUCUACCAAAGCUCCAGCGGAUGACCUACAAUCAUUGGCCCUGUGAUGAAAAUCCCUUGGUUCUUGGUUUUGUCCCUCAGCUUUGGAAGCUCAGUCUUGCUAAUGCAAACCUUUCAGGCAAGAUCCUCAACUUAAGCAAGCUGCUUGCUAAUGCCCCCACAGUAAGCGAUUUGUAUCUGGACUUUGUAAGCGAAAAGAUUUGGGUUCAACCAGAAUGCCCCAAAGUCCUUGCUCCUGUGCUUGCCAAACUCCGAUUUCUGAAUCUGGAUCAGCACCCCGAAGAAUGUGAUAUCUCUUGGACAAUGUUCGUUCUUGAAGCUGCACCACACGUAGAGGAGCUCUGCAUUACAGUAUGGGACCAUAAGUGCCGAAUGGAGUCACAAAAGAGUUUGUCCGAAAUAUCGGAUGUGAAGUGGGAGCCAUCUGAUCCUCGUUUUAAGCACAAGAAUCUGGCGAGGCUAAUUAUCUAUGGCUUCCAGUCCGAUGACAAUUUCACGGGAUACGUCGGGCGUGUCAUUCAAGCUGCGGUGAACAUCAGGGAGGUAUCCCUGCACGACAGGAAGGGGUGUGAAUUUUGUGCUGAGAAGUUUCCUCACAUGGAGGUUCGUCCUUCGAGUUAUCCACGGAUCACCGAGGAGGUGGAAUUGUUGAGGAAGAAGAUGACAGCAGCGUCAGCGUCAACUUCUCCUGAUAUUCUGUUCCGCUCAUAA
rnacentral:rRNA from 1 species